AAUGAACGCUGGCGGCGUGCUUUACACAUGCAAGUCGAGCGAGGCCGGGUAGCAAUACCCGAGUCGAGCGGCGCACGGGUGAGUAACGCGUGGAUAACCUGCCUGAGGGUGGGGGAUAACCCGGGGAAACUCGGGCUAAUACCGCAUAACACCGCGAGGUCAAAGGGGGCCGCAAGGCUCUCGCCUACAGAGGGGUCCGCGUCCGAUUAGCUAGUUGGCAGGGUAAUGGCCUACCAAGGCGACGAUCGGUAGCCGGCCUGAGAGGGUGAUCGGCCACACUGGAACUGAGACACGGUCCAGACUCCUACGGGAGGCAGCAGUGGGGAAUUUUGGACAAUGGGGGCAACCCUGAUCCAGCAAUGCCGCGUGCAGGAAGAAGGCCUUCGGGUUGUAAACUGCUUUUGUACGGAACGAAACGGUCUGGGUUAAUACCCUGGGCUAAUGACGGUACCGUAAGAAUAAGCACCGGCUAACUACGUGCCAGCAGCCGCGGUAAGAC
rnacentral:rRNA from 1 species